CCUACGUGAGGCAGCAGUGGGGAAUAUUGCACAAUGGGGGAAACCCUGAUGCAGCGACGCCGCGUGAGCGAUGAAGUAUUUCGGUAUGUACAGCUCUAUCAGCAGGGAAGAAAAUGACGGUACCUGACUCAGAAGCCCCGGCUAACUACGUGCCAGCAGCCGCGGGAAUACGUAGGGGGCAAGCGUUAUCCGGAUUUACUGGGUGUAAGGGGAGCGUAGACGGCUGUGCAAGCCAGAUGUGAAAGCCCGGGUCUCAACCCCGGGACUGCAUUUGGAACUGUGUGGCUGGAGUGUCGGAGAGGCAGGCGGAAUGCCUAGUGUAGCGGUGAAAUGCGGAGAUAUUAGGAGGAACACCAGUGGCGAAGGCGGCCUGCUGGACGAUGACUGACGUUGAGGCUCGAAAGCGUGGGGAGCAAACAGGAUUAGAUACCCCUGUAGUC
rnacentral:rRNA from 1 species